UACGUAGGGGGCUAGCGUUGUCCGGAUUUAUUGGGCGUAAAGAGCGUGUAGGCGGCCAAGUAAGUCCGGUGUGAAAACUCGAGGCUUAACCUCGAGAUGUCAUCGGAAACUAUUUGGCUAGAGUCCGGAAGAGGAGAGUGGAAUUCCUGGUGUAGCGGUGAAAUGCGCAGAUAUCAGGAAGAACACCGGUGGCGAAGGCGGCUUCCUGGACCAGCACUGACGCUGAUGCGCGAAAGCUAGGGGAGCAAACAGG
rnacentral:rRNA from 1 species